rfam:Stegodyphus mimosarum contig27725, whole genome shotgun sequence.
GCCUUCGUGGUGUAGUGGUCAGCACGCUGGACCCGUAUUCCAGAGGUCCGUGGUUCGAGUCCCGGCAAAGGCG